AGGCCUGGAGAGAGAAGCAGGGUCUGAUCCAUAGCCUUCAUGGCAGCUGUUGAUCAGCACUUGCCUCUCUCUCUCCG
rfam:Myotis brandtii contig304309, whole genome shotgun sequence.